CGAAUUCGCCCUUAGAGUUUGAUCCUGGCUCAGGACGAACGCUGGCGGCGUGCCUAACACAUGCAAGUCGAACGGAACUGUUUUGAAAGAUUUCUUCGGAAUGAAUUUGAUUUACUUUAGUGGCGGACGGGUGAGUAACGCGUGAGUAACCUGCCUUCAAGAGGGGGAUAACAUUCUGAAAAGAAUGCUAAUACCGCAUGACAUAUCGGAACCACAUGGUUUUGAUAUCAAAGAUUUUAUCGCUUGAAGAUGGACUCGCGUCCGAUUAGUUAGUUGGUGAGGUAACGGCUCACCAAGACCGCGAUCGGUAGCCGGACUGAGAGGUUGAACGGCCACAUUGGGACUGAGACACGGCCCAGACUCCUACGGGAGGCAGCAGUGGGGGAUAUUGCGCAAUGGGGGCAACCCUGACGCAGCAACGCCGCGUGAAGGAUGAAGGUUUUCGGAUUGUAAACUUCUUUUAUUAAGGACGAAAAAUGACGGUACUUAAUGAAUAAGCUCCGGCUAACUACGUGCCAGCAGCCGCGGUAAUACGUAGGGAGCAAGCGUUGUCCGGAUUUACUGGGUGUAAAGGGUGCGUAGGCGGCUUUGCAAGUCAGAUGUGAAAUCUAUGGGCUCAACCCAUAAACUGCAUUUGAAACUGUAGAGCUUGAGUGAAGUAGAGGCAGGCGGAAUUCCCCGUGUAGCGGUGAAAUGCGUAGAGAUGGGGAGGAACACCAGUGGCGAAGGCGGCCUGCUGGGCUUUAACUGACGCUGAGGCACGAAAGCGUGGGUAGCAAACAGGAUUAGAUACCGUGGUAGUCCACGCUGUAAACGAUGAUUACUAGGUGUGGGGGGUCUGACCCCUUCCGUGCCGGAGUUAACACAAUAAGUAAUCCACCUGGGGAGUACGCCGCAAGGUUGAAACUCAAAGGAAU
rnacentral:rRNA from 1 species